rnacentral:rRNA from 1 species
CCCAGACUCCUACGGGAGGCAGCAGUGGGGGAUAUUGCACAAUGGGGGGAACCCUGACCCAGCAACGCCGCGUGAAGGAAGAAGGCUCUCGGGUUGUAAACUUCUUUUAUCAGGGACGAAGCAAGUGACGGUACCUGAUGAAUAAGCCACGGCUAACUACGUGCCAGCAGCCGCGGUAAUACGUAGGUGGCAAGCGUUAUCCGGAUUUACUGGGUGUAAAGGGCGUGUAGGCGGGAAAGCAAGUCAGAUGUGAAAACCAUGGGCUCAACCUGUGGCCUGCAUUUGAAACUGUUUUUCUUGAGUACUGGAGAGGCAGGCGGAAUUCCUAGUGUAGCGGUGAAAUGCGUAGAUAUUAGGAGGAACACCAGUGGCGAAGGCGGUCUGCUGGACAGCAACUGACGCUGAGGCGCGAAAGCGUGGGGAGCAAACAGGAUUAGAUACCCGAGUA